AACGAACGCCGGCGGCAGGCCUAAAAACAUGCAAGUCAAACGGCUCUUCGGAGCAGUGGCGCACGGGUGCGUAACACGUGGGAAUAUACCCUUGGGUACGGAAUAGCUUCUGGAAACGGACAUUAAUACCGUAUAAUCCCUUCUAGUUAGCGCUAGUUGGGCAAAGAUUUAUCGCCAAAGGAUUAGCCCGCGCUAGAUUAGGUAGUUGGCGAGGUAAAAGCUCACCAAGCCGACGAUCUAUAGCUGAUCUGAGAGGAUGAUCAGCCACACUGGAACUGGGACACGGUCCAG
rnacentral:rRNA from 1 species